rnacentral:rRNA from 1 species
GUACGUUGACGUCCUGGCACGAGACGACGCUGGCGGCGUGCCUAAUACAUGCAAGUCGAGCGGACCGAACGAGAGCUUGCUCUUGUUUGGUCAGCGGCGGACGGGUGAGUAACACGUGGGCAACCUGCCCGCAAGACCGGGAUAACUCCGGGAAACCGGAGCUAAUACCGGAUAACACCAAAGACCGCAUGGUCUUUGGUUGAAAGGCGGCUUCGGCUGUCACUUGCGGAUGGGCCCGCGGCGCAUUAGCUAGUUGGUGAGGUAACGGCUCACCAAGGCGACGAUGCGUAGCCGGCCUGAGAGGGUGACCGGCCACACUGGGACUGAGACACGGCCCAGACUCCUACGGGAGGGCAGCAGUAGGGAAUCUUCCGCAAUGGACGAAAGUCUGACGGAGCGACGCCGCGUGAGCGAAGAAGGCCUUCGGGUCGUAAAGCUCUGUUGUGAGGGACGAAGGAGCGCCGUUUGAAUAAGGCGGCGCGGUGACGGUACCUCACGAGAAAGCCCCGGCUAACUACGUG